GAAAACCCGUUUCUCGUACGUUCAUGGAAGUUAAGCAACGUCAAGCCUGAACAGUACCUAGAUGGGUGACCGCUUGGGAAUACCAGGUGCUGUUA